rnacentral:rRNA from 1 species
CACGUGAGUAACCUUCCCUUGACUCUGGGAUAAGACGGGAAACUGGGUCUAAUACUGGAUAUGACCUUUCUCCGCAUGGUGGAAGGUGGAAAGAUUUAUCGGUCUUGGAUGGACUCGCGGCCUAUCASCUUGUUGGUGAGGUAAUGGCUCACCAAGGCGACGACGGGUAGCCGGCCUGAGAGGGUGACCGGCCACACUGGGACUGAGACACGGCCCAGACUCCUACGGGAGGCAGCAGUGGGGAAUAUUGCACAAUGGGCGCAAGCCUGAUGCAGCGACGCCSCGUGAGGGAUGACGGCCUUCGGGUUGUAAACCUCUUUCAGUAGGGAAGAAGCCUUUCGGGGUGACGGUACCUGCAGAAGAAGCGCCGGCUAACUACGUGCCARCAGCCGCGGUAAUACRUAGGGCGCGAGCGUUAUCCGGAAUUAUUGGGCGUAAAGAGCUCGUAGGCGGUUUGUCGCGUCUGCUGUGAAAGCCCGGGGCUUAACUCCGGGUCUGCAGUGGGUACGGGCAGACUAGAGUGCAGUAGGGGAGACUGGAAUUCCUGGUGUAGCGGUGAAAUGCGCAGAUAUCAGGAGGAACACCGAUGGCGAAGGCAGGUCUCUGGGCUGUUACUGACGCUGAGGAGCGAAAGCAUGGGGAGCGAACAGGAUUAGAUACCCUGGUAGUCCAUGCCGUAAACGUUGGGCACUAGGUGUGGGGGACAUUCCACGUUUUCCGCGCCGUAGCUAACGCAUUAAGUGCCCCCGCCUGGGGAGUACGGCCGCAAGGCUAAAACUCAAAGGAAUUGACGGGGGCCCCGCACAAGCGGC